rnacentral:lncRNA from 1 species
UGCGGAGAUGAGGGACCUGAACGUCAAGUUCGGUCAAGAAGCAUUCAUCAAAGGGUUCGAGCUCUGCCAAGAGAAGAUGGUCAAAAAAUUUCUCGAGCUUGACCUCAGCUUCUUGGAUGAGGCGUCUGAAGAUGAAGUCGGGCCCUCUCCCACUGUCGCUGCCACCGCAACUCCCCUUCCAAGAACACCGAGCUCCCCAAUUCCUGCCUCAGAGGUCUGAGACCUC